GACGAACGCUGGCGGCGUGCUUAACACAUGCAAGUCGAACGGAAAGGCCCUGCUUUUGUGGGGUGCUCGAGUGGCGAACGGGUGAGUAACACGUGAGUAACCUGCCCUUGACUUUGGGAUAACUUCAGGAAACUGGGGCUAAUACCGGAUAGGAGCUCCUGCUGCAUGGUGGGGGUUGGAAAGUUUCGGCGGUUGGGGAUGGACUCGCGGCUUAUCAGCUUGUUGGUGGGGUAGUGACUUACCAAGGCUUUGACGGGUAGCCGGCCUGAGAGGGUGACCGGCCACAUUGGGACUGAGAUACGGCCCAGACUCCUACGGGAGGCAGCAGUGGGGAAUAUUGCACAAUGGGCGGAAGCCUGAUGCAGCAACGCCGCGUGCGGGAUGACGGCCUUCGGGUUGUAAACCGCCUUCGCCUGUGACGAAGCGUGAGUGACGGUAAUGGGUAAAGAAGCACCGGCUAACUACGUG
rnacentral:rRNA from 1 species